rnacentral:rRNA from 1 species
AUUGAACGCUGGCGGCAGGCCUAACACAUGCAAGUCGAACGAGUGGCGGACGGGUGAGUAAUGUCUGGGAAACUGCCUGAUGGAGGGGGAUAACUACUGGAAACGGUAGCUAAUACGGCAUACCAUCAGAUGUGCCCAGAUGGGAAUAGCUAGUAGGUGGGGUAACGGCUCACCUAGGCGACGAUCCCUAGCUGGUCUGAGAGGAUGACCAGCCACACUGGAACUUAGACACGGGCCAGACUCCUACGGGAGGCAGCAGUGGGGAAUAUUGCACAAUGGGCGCAAGCCUGAUGCAGCCAUGCCGCGUGUAUGAAGAAGGCCUUCGGGUUGUAAAGUACUUUCAGCAGGGAGGCGUUACCCACAGAAGAAGCACCGGCUAACUCCGUGCCAGCCGCCGCGGUAAUUC